rnacentral:lncRNA from 1 species
GGGCAGAGGUGGGAGGGGGUGGGGGUGUGGGGGGCACUGUGACAUCACUGAGCUCCCUCCCUUGGAGGCCACGGAGGUCUGAGGAAGUAGCAGGGCCUGGCAGGAGGUGGCUUGCCUCUGGGCACUGGAGGAUCUGGUGAAGCAACAUCUGCUAACCAAUGAACACAGCAGAGCAUUGCUCUGAGCAUCAGAAAGGGCAUCCGAAGGGAGAAAUGGCAGAUGCCAGAUCUUUGAAAGAAAGGAAGAGGGAAGAGACCAAAGGUCACUGAGAAGCUAAGUGGUGUGGGGCCUUCCCCAUGCCCCACAAGGACCAGCUGCCCUGUACCCUAUGUGUGGGGAUUCUUGGCAUACAGAGGGAGGUGGGCUGCCAGUUUAUAUGUGUGCACAGAUUUAUAGUGUGUAUGAUGUGAUUUUGGUAGUUUCUGUGCUUCUACACAAUGCAUGUUUCUGAUAGAACGGAAAGGAGAGAGACUUUGGACAAAGGGGCAAGCUCUGUAGAAAGAACGUCUUCGAUGCAGUCCUCCAACUGGCCCUGUGAUGUGGACAUGGGAGGAGGUGGGUCUAAUCUCACAGAUGUGGAAAGGAUGAUUGCCUCACCUAGGAAAAAGCAAACACUUCCCACAACCUGAUCACCACACAAAUUGAUCAACUGGUAACCACUUGGUAACAGCUGAUGAAAUGCUUUCUUCUUCUUCCUGAGUCCUGAAGAAUCCACCAGUUAACAGUAUAGAAAACUCUUCCUGGUCUAUUUGCCCUCCUCUCCACCCAGGGAGGUAGAGCCUCAGAAGAAACAAGGGUUCUCUUCUCACAACAAGAGAGCAAUUUACAAGAUGUCCUUCGAGGGACGGAAGAUCCACAGUGCCUUCAUUAAAAGGGAGAUGUAAACAUCUGCCUCGUCUUUUGAAAACACUCCCCACUGGGAACAGAGAUGACAAAGAGAAAUCACAGCAAAAGGAGAGAACAAUGAAAUGAACAGGAGGCAGCUGCUCCAGGACAGGGCACUAAAAUGUUAGUUAAGAGUGCCAGGUCCCUCAGUGGCUUCCUUGUGCCUACAAAAUAAAGUUCCAAUGCCUGUCCAGUUUUCUUUCCGGCAUGUGCUCUAGGCUCCAAUCAAAAUGGAAAACUGCUCCAUGCACAUGAUGAAGGCAAGGGCUUGUACACUCAGAUGCCUGAAAGGCCCAGCCAGCAACAUGAGGGCCUGUGCCAGUUAAGUGUAAGUAAAACAGUAUACCAGGCAUACUUCUAAUGACUAUUGACCCUCAGAAAACAGGGAUCAAUGAGGCUGGAGGGCAAACUGGAAUGUUUCUGCCCGCUCUAAAGAGGGUGGAAGUUGCCCAGCUCCAGUUAAUCAUGGCUCAGCUUGAAGGCAGCUUACGGCUACCAGAGCUUCUGAAUGAAAAGAACCCAGCAAUGCAGAAAUCUACAUGAAAUAUCCUAUCAUCAUAUGUAGACAACUGGUUCAUAAUUUUUUAAACAUAGGCUAAACAACAUAUUUCUGUGAGCCAAAGCUAGCCAGACAGUAGCCAGUUUGAAGCCUUUGUCCUAAUUUCUGCCUACACAACUUUAUUCCUACUGUUUGAAAUACUGUCUCCUCUUCCUCAUUGCCUGUUCAAAGCCUAUUCAACCAUAACCUGAGAAAGUAGUAGAGUGCCAAGAAAAAUGUCCCAAGGUUGCAGUUUUUUUAAAAAUAAAUAAUAUGCUGGGGAAAGUGGCAUAAAACUUGGAAAACAGGUCUAGUGAAUAUCAUAGGUCUAAUAAUCCCCAGCAUGCUAAUUUCGUGAAGUGAUAAAGUGGUCGUGAGCAGCAGACAGGCAGCAUGGUACCAGGCGAGAGAGCAACAGCACUCCAUGCUGGCAGACGGGCGCCAGUCCCAGCUCUGUCAUUCACUAGCUGUGUUUCCCUAAGUAGCCAACUUCACUCUCUCAGACUUGUUUGCCUCAUCUGAAAAAUGGGGAAUCAUGUCUACCUGCCUACUUACAGAAUUGUCGUGACAAUCAGAUUAAGGAGUGAAAGAGUGAACAUGCUUCCAAAAUUCUAAGGUAAUAAACACGUAAGUCUCCAAGGGGUAGGGGAUUAUUACUAACAUAACUUUUUGAGGUUAUUAAUAAAAGUUAGAACAAGAAAAAACCUGCCCAUCCCAGUACAAACAAAAUGACUUUUAAAAGCACACACCUGCUAUUCAUUUCCAGGACUUAGAAAAAAUAAAAUGUAAAAAUAAAAAGUACAUGCCCUUUGGCCUAGGAAUUUCACUACUAAGAAAUUAGCCUAAGAAAAUAGUCAUGUGUGACUGCAUUAUUUAGCUACAACUAUGUUUAUGGUAAUAUUGUUUGUAACAGGCAAAACAUAAACAAAAAACAACCUCAAAACCUCUUAUAUGUCCAACUAUAAAGAGGUUUGGUUAAACACAGCAUAGUAUCUCCAGGACUUAAAUAUCAUGUACUCAUUAAAAGGUCUAAUACAAUUUUGUGGAGAAAAAAAAUGUGUUUUGAAUAAGAAAAACUUAUAGAGUAGUACAAUGCCAUUUGUAUAAUUAUGGUUGUAUAUAUUUGCAUAGUAAAAUAUUUUUAAAAUUAUACAACCCAAGGAUAAUGAGUUAUCACCCUGG